rnacentral:autocatalytically_spliced_intron from 1 species
GGGAGCCCAGUGAGUUGAGAGGCUCACGCUGGGUUAACGGGGCAAACAGGCACUCAGCAAAGCGGAUGCGCGCAAAUAUGAAUUUUUAAAGGCUCCUUAAAGUCAAUAAACCUAACUUUAUGAUGCUUUCCAUUUCUAAAUCAAAACUGAGUUUGUCGGCUUCACCUUAC